AGAAUUGGCAUCUUGAUCCAGAAAGCAAUGAGAUGACAAUACAAAACAAAUUGUAGGGAAGUAGCCAUAUGUGAUCUGAUACAGUAAUGUUUUUCUUUUCAUUUUUUUCUUUAACAUUUAUCUUUUUUCUGAGCAAAGGUGGGACUAAAGUCUACUGAAGAUUGAAGGUCAAACAACUAGGAAGAGAACCAGCAGUAGAUCAGGACAAUUAAGUGGUAGUCUGAUAGACUCACAGUUGGGAUUUU
rnacentral:misc_RNA from 1 species